GUGGGGAAUAUUGCGCAAUGGGCGAAAGCCUGACGCAGCGACGCCGCGUGAGGGAUGAAGGUUUUCGGAUCGUAAACCUCUGUCAGAAGGGAAGAAACUACAUUGUGCUAAUCAGCAGUGUACUGACGGUACCUUCAAAGGAAGCACCGGCUAACUCCGUGCCAGCAGCCGCGGUAAUACGGAGGGUGCAAGCGUUAAUCGGAAUUACUGGGCGUAAAGCGCACGUAGGCUGUAGUGUAAGUCAGGGGUGAAAUCCCACGGCUCAACCGUGGAACUGCCUUUGAUACUGCACAACUUGAAUCCGGGAGAGGGUGGCGGAAUUCCAGGUGUAGGAGUGAAAUCCGUAGAUAUCUGGAGGAACAUCAGUGGCGAAGGCGGCCACCUGGACCGGUAUUGACGCUGAGGUGCGAAAACGUGGGGAGCAAACAGGAUUAGAAACCCCUGUAGUCC
rnacentral:rRNA from 1 species